UUUAACUCUAGAUAUCUCCAUUUCUCUCAAGGCUUAAAAUAACAGUCUUAAAAUUCCUCCUAGGAUCCUUGAAGAAACCCUCAUAUCUGCAAACCAAGGGAAGUUGAAGUUCUUGAAGAAUUUAAGUCAAAGGACAAGUUACAGAAAUUGAGGAUUUGUUUGAGGUUGUUAAUGAUUGAUUUAUGUGUAUUGUUGAUGGUGGGAAGCUUGGUGAUCUUGACAAAGGAUAUAUGAAGUUGUAUUAAUGUAUAAAAGAAGGGUAUAAUGAUUUACCAGUUGUGUAAAGGUUGUAUGAGUUUACUAUCUGUGAAGUGUUUAACUAUUGUUUUACGAGGCUAUAAUGUGAUUAGUUGCUAACAUUAGUUUCGUCAUGACUUAUAUUGUAGAUUAACGCCUUAAAGGGGAGGCUGAAAUGUGGUAGUUGUAUUGAUCAAGAAACAAAGUAUGUAAGAUUA